UACGUAGGUGGCAAGCGUUGUCCGGAAUUAUUGGGCGUAAAGAGCUCGUAGGCGGUUCAGCAAGUCGGGUGUGAAAAAUCUGGGCUCAACCCAGUGGAGCACCCGAUACUGCUGUGACUAGAGUCCGGUAGGGGAGUGUGGAAUUCCUGGUGUAGCGGUGAAAUGCGCAGAUAUCAGGAGGAACACCAACGGCGAAGGCAGCACUCUGGGCCGGUACUGACGCUGAGGAGCGAAAGCGUGGGGAGCGAACAGG
rnacentral:rRNA from 1 species